rnacentral:hammerhead_ribozyme from 1 species
AGACUGCUGAGGAGUCCCACAAUAGGAGGAAAUGGCCGUCUAGUGC